rnacentral:misc_RNA from 1 species
UGGUGACGCCUGCAAUCCAGUCGGUCUCUUCCUUAAUGGCAGUUGAUGCCUCGUUUCCGACGCGGAUUGACCCAGCUGAUGAUGCCUCGCUUCCGACGCUGACUGCUCCAGUUGAUGCGCCAGCUCUCCCUGUUACUUCGGUUGUAGGGCUGGCGGCGCCUGGACCUGCCUCGUUUCCUGCGAUGGAGGGGCCAGCUAAUGUGUCAAUGCUAUUGGAUGCUUCGGGUGUUGUGCCAGCGGCGUCUGGCCCUGUUCUCGUUGCUGUUAAUGCUGCGGAUUAUCCCCAUGAAGACUGUUCGGAGUCCCAAGAAUCUGCUUCUGCGCCUAUUCAGGAGAAGUGCGGCCAUUUAUGCUCGGCGGCUGGCAGACCAGUUAUUGUCCCAAUUGAUGUUGGGGUUAAUGCGUUGGUGGCACCUGCUAAAUCCUCGGUUUCUUCCUUAAUGACGGUGGAUGACUCGUUUUCGAGGUUGGUGGGACCAG